rnacentral:misc_RNA from 1 species
UUCAAUUCAAAUUUAUUUGAUGGAAUUUUCCGUUUCACAAUACAUUAGAAAUAUUGUGCAAAAACUUUCAUGAGCAAUUACCUAGGUUACAGUUACUGGUCAGAUAAUGUUGCCUGGAAGUCCUCAUUCAGAGCAAGGCUAAUUGAACUCUCAGGGUUAGGAUUAAGGUUUAUGGUUUAUCUAUUUUGUGAAGUAAAAGCUUAGGUGCAGGAUGAUAUCUAGGAAAUUUCAUUUCCAUUAUAAGAAUCUUGCCACAAUUUAGUACAAUGGAAACUAAGGUAGGUGUUGUAUUCGAGUUUGUCUCUGUGUGUGUGUGUGUAAUGAAUCUAUGGAUAUGUUUGGUAGAAAAGGUUUAGUAGUUCAUCAGGAGGAUUAAAGUGAAGAAUGCAUCCACGCAAGUUGAUAUGAAUCCAGAAAAUAAGCCCAGUGGACCAUGGCCCUUAGGGUAUAUACAAGCAGAAUGGCAAGGAAGCAACAAGAAGAGUAUAGAAGGAGCUAGCAUAGAAGGUUCAGGAAUGACAGCUGGGCUAGGGGUAACUGAAUUUGAAUAGUUGGUAUGGGGAGAGAAAAUUAUGAAUAGAGGGUAGUAGAAUAAGGAAAUUAUCAGGGAAUAAUAAUGUAAUUCGAGCAGUUGCUUUGGUUUGGUUAUUGCUUGUAACAGAGAGAGAAUUGUGAUUCCUUCAUCAAUGAAAUCUUCAUACAACUUUCUCCACAUUCUUUGUUAGUUUCUUUUUCUCAAGUUCUUUACUCUUAUCACAAGUCCUGCUAGAUUGAUAUUGAGGUUGAGUAGGGUUAAUCUA